GUAACAAAAUCAAGUCAUUGUGCGUGGAACAGCAGCUUAUGUUGUUAGUCUACUACUUCAAUGAAAAUGGAUUAACGCAUGGAUUAAAAGUGAUGGAUUUUCAACGAGAAAUCAACAACUCUGUCAAAAACAUUGAAACAUUCCCACAAGUUUCUCUCUCUCUCUCUCUCUCUCUCUCUCUCUCUAACAUUCUAUAUACUCUAACGCUUGCAUUGGAAACGGUCAUAAAUGUGACAAACACAGAAAAAGGAUGAUGAUGAUGAUGAGGACACGUCUCACAAGACAAUUAUGUUUACACACAGGAUGAUGAUGAGGACACGUCUCACAUGGCAAUUAUGUUUACACACAGGAUGAUGAUGAGGACACGUCUCACAUGACAAUUAUGUUUACACACAGGAUGAUGAUGAGGACACGUCUCACAUGACAAUUAUGUUUACACACAGGAUGAUGAUGAGGACACGUCUCACAUGACAAUUAUGUUUACACACAGGAUGAUGAUGAGGACACGUCUCACAUGACAAUUAUGUUUACACACAGGAUGAUGAUGAGGACACGUCUCACAUGACAAUUAUGUUUACACACAGGAUGAUGAUGAGGACACGUCUCACAUGACAAUUAUGUUUACACACAGGAUGAUGAUGAGGACACGUCUCACAUGACAAUUAUGUUUACACACAGGAUGAUGAUGAGGACACGUCUCACAUGACAAUUAUGUUUACACACAGGAUGAUGAUGAGGACACGUCUCACAUGACAAUUAUGUUUACACACAGGAUGAUGAUGAGGACACGUCUCACAUGACAAUUAUGUUUACACACAGGAUGAUGAUGAGGACACGUCUCACACGCACAUCUCUUUCGACUCGUGAAAUUUUAUGUGAAUAAUUUACUCAAAUGUUUUACAAAAUUGUAUACAUGUAUUAUAUUUAUUUUUGAUAUCGGAUUAAGUUUAGAAGUUACAAUUCCAUACCGACGUGAUGCUGAGAAAAAUCUCAAAUUAUCUGAAUCAAUAAUUAGAUUGUUGUUCUCUCUAAAUGAACAAAGUACUGAAACAUGAUAAGUCGUAAUAUACUUUUACUUUUUUCUUUCAAAUUUACACACUUAAAUGUACAAACAUGAUGUCGACCUUUUCAUUAUUUACUUUGUUCAAUGCCUACACACUUGUGCAAUGAGUAGUAUAUUAUUUUUCUUAAAGCUGACAUAAAUUAAUAAUACGUGUACACAUUUCUCAUCUUAUCUGCCAUAUUUCUCUCUGAUACUUAUAUUUUCCCGCAUUUCGAUAGUAUAGCGGGGAAAUGCAGUAUUCACUAUGUGUACUUAAAAUGGUAUAGCCUGUACAGUGGCAUGAUCCAUGAAUGUUAUUCAGGUUCUGACCAAUAGAAAUGCUUAGGAAGGGGUUUCUAAGAGCUGGUUUUGUUAAAGUAUUCUAGCCGCCGUUCUGCAUGGGUUAAACAAACUUUCAUAACUUAAUGUAGCCUAUAUUGUUUAUAUUCUUGGUAUUUUUUUUUAGGUUCGUUCACAAACUCCCAACAUCUAGCGGCAUUUGGCAACGGACACACUAGAGUUUUUCAUCGGUAAAUAUCAUUUUAUCUCUAGCUUUUUCCUGGCCGGUCCUGAUGUUUGUUUUUGCUGGAGAAUAUUGCAUGUAUGUUGUCAAGUUAAACAUUUCAUGCACAAUUUUCCUAGUUUGUCAUAUGUAAAAGCAAAGCAAUCGGUUGUAUGUGUGGUCUGUAAUUAUAUAAAAUAUAUAAAAUAGAUGGAGGCGUUCGGCAUGUACGGCUGGCUGUCAGGAAAUAU